rnacentral:rRNA from 1 species
GAUGAACGCUGGCGGCGUGCCUAAUACAUGCAAGUCGAGCGAACAGACGAGGAGCUUGCUCCUUUGACGUUAGCGGCGGACGGGUGAGUAACACGUGGAUAACCUACCUAUAAGACUGGGAUAACUUCGGGAAACCGGAGCUAAUACCGGAUAACAUGUUGAACCGCAUGGUUCAACAGUGAAAGACGGUCUUGCUGUCACUUAUAGAUGGAUCCGCGCCGCAUUAGCUAGUUGGUAAGGUAACGGCUUACCAAGGCAACGAUGCGUAGCCGACCUGAGAGGGUGAUCGGCCACACUGGAACUGAGACACGGUCCAGACUCCUACGGGAGGCAGCAGUAGGGAAUCUUCCGCAAUGGGCGAAAGCCUGUCGGAGCAACGCCGCGUGAGUGAAGAAGGUCUUCGGAUCGUAAAACUCUGUUAUUAGGGAAGAACAAAUGUGUAAGUAACUAUGCACGUCUUGACGGUACCUAAUCAGAAAGCCACGGCUAACUACGUG